ACUCGCUACUCUCACAGUUAGCCACCAGCUGCAGCCGAAGACAGAUUGCCGUCUCCCUGGCAACGCUCCCGAGCUCACUCGAGUACCGGAAAGCUUUCUCUGGUCUCGUCUGUCGUAGACAGGCGCCUUUUUCGUAUAACUUCCAGAGGGAAGAAUUAGUUUUCAGAACUGCAGCCGUGACAGGGAAGAACUUUCAUUUUCAUCAUUGUAGAUUUUCAUUGAAUGUCAUAUUGGCAGAUCAUUUCGAAGUGAAACUCCGCUUUUGAUAUCUUCCAUUACUUAUGUCUUUCAUUGACACACAAAACAGAGCUUUGUAUAGCUUCUGGAUCAGACAUUAGAAUCGAGCCUCCUACGAAAAUAGAAGCUGCCAAGUGAGAGUGAACCAGAGGAGAAAAAGAAGAAGAAGAAGAAGCAGUAGUAUAAACUGAAUAGAGAGAAACAACGGCAAUAAGGUCACAAAAUCGACAUGUCGAAUAACAAAGUCGUGGAAACUCUUCAGUCGAAGAUUCGACUGAGGAACGUCGUCGUCAGGGAGUUCCUGGCCGAGUUCCUUGGCACGUUCAUUCUCGUGCUCUUUGGGGACGCAUCGGUGGCACAAAGCGUCCUGACGAACAAAGCCAACGGAGAUUUCUUCGCCAUCAACUGGGGAUGGGGCCUGGCCGUUGUCUUAGGAGUCCUCGUCAGUGGAGGGGUGAGCGGAGGUCACAUCAACCCAGCUGUGACCUUAGCCAUGGCCAUCUGGGGGAAGCACCCGUGGGCGAAAGUUCCCGUUUAUAUGGUGGCACAGUAUCUGGGGGCGUUCUUCGCGUCAUGUAUGGUCUAUGCUGUCUAUCUCAAUGCCCUGGACGCCUUCGAGCCACAGAAAAGUUUGGCAACGGCUGGAAUCUGGGCAACGUACCCAGGAGCGAUGACUAAUGUCAAUGGCACCGUCAUCACAGACUUCCUGUCCAGUGGGAAUGGUUUAGCUGAUCAGGUUGUGGGCACCAUGCUGCUACUGAUCUGCGUCUGCGCCAUCACCGACUCUAGGAACAUGGAGGUGCCCAAGUACUUGAUUCCUCUCUUCGUCGGCUUCACCGUCGUGAACAUCGGCAUCUGCUUCGGCUUCAACUGCGGUUACGCCAUUAACCCCGCCAGGGACCUGGCGCCCAGACUCUUCACCCUCAUUGCCGGAUGGGGAGGCGACACCUUCAAAGCUAGCACCUUCGAGGGAAUUGUGUGGUGGUGGGUGCCCAUCGUUGGCCCACACAUCGGAGCGGUGUUGGGCGUGGCGAUAUACCUGGCGCUGGUCGAACUCCACCACCCGGAGGCCCAGGAGUUCGCCCUUCCUCAGAUCCACCAGUCACAAGAUUCAGUGGCCAGUUCAAGGAUGUGGGUAAGUGACCCCAUGACCUUGGCUUGGCAUCCGCGUAAACCGGAACUGUGAGAACGCCUUCAACAUUCCAUGGGGUCAGGUCAUCCUAGGUCAUCCAAGGGCAGCCUCGUCAAAAUUCUGAAGCCUAUCCAUCGUACUAGCAAGCUUGAGUUGCCGGACGCCACCACAAAGUCUGCUGAGGAUACCAUCGUUGUCGCCAUGGCUACAGCAUACGGAAUUCACGGCUAAUUGUAUAAAUCUUGUGCGAAGUCAGUAAGAUAAUCGAUGUAUUUGAACUUUGUAAGUAACAAAAUGUCUUGUACAGUUAUAUAGUGUAAUUAAGCACAAUGCCACGUCUGUCAUGUUUCAAAUUGUUGCCAAAUUCUUUUGGAUGGGUGUUAAUUGUAAUGAUUAGCAAGUUGUCUGUGUCGAAGCAUUUAACAGUUAUACCAUCCGAUGGUUGUGGUUUGUGUUACUGAAGCUACAAAUUUUAUGAUAGUAUUAAGAUUCCUUUAUAUUAGUACGACAUUAUCCUUUAAGGUUUUAUAUCAAUGGCAUUACUGGCUGCUUUGCUCUUUCAAGAGCACAGGAGUUCAAUUCGAGUUGCCCAUACAAUUGUAUUACAAUUACUCCGAGAUAAUUGCAGAACACUUCUGAAAAAUCUCUUCGUGGAGGUUGCUGAACACUUCAUGAUGGCUGUCUUGAACACUUUCCUCGCUGGAGUGGUUGAACACUGCCUUUGCUUCCAACGACUCAAAACCCGUAGCUUUAAGGGGGCUUCUUCGUGGCCAGUUGGUUUCCGUUUUGAUUUUUAUGAAAUCUACAAAAAAUAUGACAAUUUCGUAUUAUGUAACAAUUUGAUAUAUUGUGACAUGAGUAUAAGGGAGGCGGAGUGAAAAAAAAUUGCCAGUAAAACGGCGAUUUAUAUAUAUUAUUUUGUUUAUUGCUUUUCGUUAGUCCACCCAGGUAUAUUUACUUACCAACAUAACACUUUCUGAGAGGCCUAUUUCUUGAAAGGUUUUAUAUUUUGGCCCUAACAAAUUCACUUAUAUGAAUAUUAUAAUGUUUUUGUUGCAAACAUAUUACACUUCUUUUCCUUUAUUUUUGUUAUAGACACAUUCAAAAUACGACAAAUCGUUACCAAUAACCAACGUCAAUUCAUGUUCAGGACGACUUAGAUUAUGUUUGCAUUUGUGAUGAAAUAUUUUCUUCACACUGUCCAACGUUCCUUGACAGCUAGAUUACCUUCUUGAGUCACUCAUUUCCUGAUGUUUUUAUAGUAAGAAAAUAACACUGGCUUCCGGGAUGUCUGCAGUCGGAGGACUCUUUUGGGGACAUAAAAUUGAUGCAGUUCUUGAGAGAGGCCCCACCAAUUCCUGCAUGGAGUAUGACAGAGGAAGAGAAGGAGGGGGGGGGGGGGCACUUUUUAUGUAUCUAGCGAAGAAAAAUCAUUAGACCUAACCGUGAAGGACGCAACAGUCCUGACUUUGACAUUGGGAAAGUCAGAGACUCAAGAAACACAGAAACAGUGAAAAAGUUCUGGAAACUUGGUAUUAUUGCCAUAUUCUGCAUGGAAAGUCAUGGGAUUCCUCACAUAUAACUCCCCAUAAACUCCUCAUAAAUGGCCUUUACACAAUCAAAAUCAUGCAAAACUACUUUUGCAUAUUUUCCUCCAUUUUAACACAGCAUCUUGUCGUCAUGUAUGUGAGCGCUAUUGUGUCUUUCCAAUUUUUAUAUUCUCUUGGAUCUUCCUACAGCGACUGUAUUUAGCCCCUAGUUAUAUCUGUCAAAAGUACUUCAGUAACAGAGGGUAAGGACAUUUCUUUGAAUAAAAAAAAACAGAAAGGUUUCGUUGUUAGGAACUUUGCUAUAAAGACCUACUUGAGUUUAUCAUUAAUGUUGUUAUAUUUAGUGUCAUUAUCCAACACUGUAGUCAGCCAGUUAAUUACCGUCGUGAAUUGUUUCAUAGUUGAGAUAUUGCUGGAUAAAAGUGGCAUCUUGUUGAAGCUUGUUUGAACGCGCUGAGGGAAACAUGGAAAUGAGUGUUGUGAUGUCAUUGGAUCGAGAUACCUAGCACAAGUAAAUGACAGUUGGCUUCGGAUGAAGGUUUAACAGAAAUCGCGUUGUGCAAAGUUCUGCAGGUAGAGACUGAUGCAUUUAAAAAAAAAAAAAAAAAAAAAAGAGGUUCUCUGAAAAUUGAGCAGUACACACUGAGGUGAAUGAAACGAUAUGAUAUGUCCCAGUUUUCCAAACCUUCCAGAAAAGAUUUAGGAUGUAAAUUCGCUGUACGUAUCUUACAAAGCUGAACGAAUCUUAGUUCCUCAUCAUCACUGUUUAGGAGUUUUAUAUGAUGCUUACGUUACAUGACAUCUAAAGAUAAAAAGUAAGUGUUUUCGCCAUAUUCUUAAAGAAUUGACAAAGCUUUAAAUGAAAUUGUGGCUUAAUGUACCGGUAAGUUGACUUCCCGUUACUCUCAGUUCAUCCAAUAGAUAUGUAGGUCAUGAAGUAGAUACUUAUGUCACGAGAGAUUUCCUGUAUGGAUGAUUCUCCUUAUCCACGAAAUUGGAUUGAUCUUAGUAGAAUUACUGGAGGUUGAUAUACCUUGCCAUUUUGGCAAGAGCUAUCUGGAACAUGUAAUUAAUGCUUCCAAGUAUUUUCGGUUGUAUAUAGUACAGUUAGACGCUGACGACUGGGUGGUCUAUGGUAAUGGACGAAAUCUGUUGAUUGGUCACAACAACAACUGCUGAGCAGUCUCAGCUGUUCAUACUGAGGGCUGUUCAUUAGUCUCAGCAGUAGCGUUUGAUUGGUUCUGAGGCGUCUCAGUUUUACGUCACGAGAGUUUUUUUCUGUAGAUGCUGUUACCAAGUAGACUCCGCAGACUAUUCCAAGAGCCACUGAAUAGUCUCAUCAGUAGUACUGCGAGGUGGUGCUGUGUGGCAUCAGUAGUGAUUUUUGGGAGCUACUAAACAUUCUUAAGUAAUAAGUAUCUUGGCUGUAAAUGCUGAAGGCUGCUUAAGAGCCUCGUGACUGGUUUUUAGGAUGUACUGGAGUCUCAGCAGUAAUUUCUGAGCGAAAUUACUUACCUUUAGUGGGAUUUUCUGAGUUUUCACGAUACAUUCUGGAAGUUGACGCUGCGCUCUGUAGUCGUCAUGGUUUCCGAAACAGUUGCUGCGCUCUGUUAAGUAGGUGUCAUUGGUUGAGAUAGCUUUUUCACAUGGGAGCGUUAAAGUAAAUUCGUUGUGUAGAAGUAAACGUAUUUUGUAUGACUAGUCUGAAAAGAAAUAUUGUUUAAAAUGGUCCCUUUAUGACGUAUUCGAAAAUAAAGUAUAGUUAUUUUUGUACCUGUUUCUACGUCAGCGUUUUGUACUAAAGUAAAAAAUUUGUUCGUACGUCUUGAACUGGACAUGUUUACGAUACUUGAAUGUUAUCAUAUAACGCACUAAGGUAUAUAUUCAUUAUAGAAUGAAAAAUUCUAUUUUACCUUUAAAAAGUAGGAGAGAACAGACUGCAGGUCAUGUAUUCUCUAAAAUAGAAGUAUCACAAACUUUAGUCGGUUUUUUAUUUUAAGUCGUCAUAUAAUGCAGUCAGUAGAAGUUCCCAGUGUACCAUUUCAGUAACUGUUAAGAAUGCACAAGCAGUGCUAUAGAGGUUUUAGGGACACCCCUUUAGUAAGUGGAAGUCAUAGCUGAAGGAGCCAGUGUCUAAGCAACGUACAAAUAUGCAAACAGAAACAGUUAUUGCGAAGUGGAAGAUUCUCAGAUAGCCUGUUUAGAACUGGAAAGCUUUGUCGUACAUGCGCUGACUUUUUCUCAAUUCAAGUAUGAUCAGAAAUAUUUUUAGGCACUGGUCAUAGCGUAUACAACCGUACAUACAUACAUUGGCGUGUAUGUAUAUAUAUAUAUAUAUAUAUAAGCAAAUGAUAGGCCUAUUAUUUUCCUGUGGAAGUCACGUGCAUCUACUGUGAUUUUUAAGCGUAUAUAUAUAUAUAUAUAUAUAUAUAUAAUUAUAUAUAUAUAUAUAU